ACUUGGCUUGUGAUGAAUCUAUUAUAACAAAUAGGUAAUUUGCGUCUGAAAGCUUUUCAUUGAUGCUAAUCACCUCGGAGAACUGAUGCCUGCU
rnacentral:snoRNA from 1 species